rnacentral:rRNA from 1 species
UGGUGGAGUGAUUUGUCUGGUUAAUUCCGUUAACGAACGAGACCUCGACCUGCUAAAUAGUCACGCGAGGUCUUCGGAUCUUGUAGUGGGCUUCUUAGAGGGACUAUCGGUUCCUAGCCGAUGGAAGUUCGAGGCAAUAACA